UACGAAGGGGGCUAGCGUUGCUCGGAAUGACUGGGCGUAAAGGGCGCGUAGGCGGAUUGCUUUGUCGGGCGUGAAAUUCCAGGGCUUAACCUUGGGGCUGCGUUCGAGACGGGUGAUCUUGAGUGGGGAAGAGGGUCGUGGAAUUCCCAGUGUAGAGGUGAAAUUCGUAGAUAUUGGGAAGAACACCGGUGGCGAAGGCGGCGACCUGGUCCUUUACUGACGCUGAGGCGCGAAAGCGUGGGGAGCAAACAGGG
rnacentral:rRNA from 1 species